CUUCAGUCUUCUUAAAACAAUCGACACAGACUGUUGGUAGAUUAUAAAAAAAAAAUUACAAUAAAAUUAUAAUGAAACUCGCUUUAAUCGCAUUUAUUCUAAGCUUGCUUGGUCUUUGCCAUGGCGAAUUCUAUGACGUUGGUUUUUGUGGUCGAGUAUACAGGUACAUAUGUGACAAAGAAACAAAAUCUUGCGAACGACACCUAGUUUGUAGAAUACAUGCACAUGGUCACUCUAGAAGUUAUAAAGAAUGCAUGAAGACGUGUGCUGAAGUGACUUCAAAUUCGACUUUAGAUUCAUGAUUUGAAUUGUAACCCUUUCGCAAUUGCUAAAUAAAAACUUUUCUUUGAGGGCAAUAAGAUUUA